rnacentral:rRNA from 1 species
GCUACACAUGCAGUCGAGCGGUAACAGGGGUAGCUUGCUACCCGCUGACGAGCGGCGGACGGGUGAGUAAUGCAUAGGAAUCUGCCCGAUAGUGGGGGAUAACCUGGGGAAACCCAGGCUAAUACCGCAUACGUCCUACGGGAGAAAGGGGGCUCCGGCUCCCGCUAUUGGAUGAGCCUAUGUCGGAUUAGCUAGUUGGUAAGGUAAUGGCUUACCAAGGCAACGAUCCGUAGCUGGUCUGAGAGGAUGAUCAGCCACAUCGGGACUGAGACACGGCCCGAACUCCUACGGGAGGCAGCAGUGGGGAAUAUUGGACAAUGGGGGCAACCCUGAUCCAGCCAUGCCGCGUGUGUGAAGAAGGCCCUCGGGUUGUAAAGCACUUUCAGCGAGGAAGAACGCCUAUCGGUUAAUACCCGGUAGGAAAGACAUCACUCGCAGAAGAAGCACCGGCUAACUCCGUGCCAGCAGCCGCGGUAAUACGGAGGGUGCAAGCGUUAAUCGGAAUUACUGGGCGUAAAGCGCGCGUAGGUGGCUUGAUAAGCCGGUUGUGAAAGCCCCGGGCUCAACCUGGGAACGGCAUCCGGAACUGUCAGGCUAGAGUGCAGGAGAGGAAGGUAGAAUUCCCGGUGUAGCGGUGAAAUGCGUAGAGAUCGGGAGGAAUACCAGUGGCGAAGGCGGCCUUCUGGACUGACACUGACACUGAGGUGCGAAAGCGUGGGUAGCAAACAGGAUUAGAUACCCUGGUAGUCC